GACAGAGGUGCCGAGCGUUAGGCGGAAUCACUGGGCUUAAAGCGUGUGUAGGCGGGCGGGCAAGUACCUUGUGAAAUCCCACGGCUCAACCGUGGAACGGCUGGGUAUACUGCCUGUCUUGAGCCAGCUAGGGGCGAGCGGAACUGACGGUGGAGCGGUGAAAUGCGUAGAUAUCGUCUGGAACGCCGAAGGUGAAAACAGCUCGCUGGGGCUGUGCUGACGCUGAGACACGAAAGCCAGGGGAGCGAACGGG
rnacentral:rRNA from 1 species